GGCGGCGGGCCAGUGCCUCUCGUGCCGCGGCCAAGAUCGGACACACCCCCUGCUCGCUCAGCCCAAGCGCCAAGCCACACGCCAGCCUGCCUCGACCAGGGAUAGAAGUAGUGGAUUGUACUUAUUUUCGCUGGUUUAGAGUUCGGGCUUUUUGAUCGCUAAGAUGCGUGUGUCCCUCCUGCUGGUGGCCGCGAUCAUGAUGAUGUGCAUGGUGGUGGGCUUAGCGGCUCCGCAGCGGUUCUUCGCGUGGCCCAAGUUCUUCAAGAAGAGGGCCAGGCUCAGGUCCAGGGGCGGCAGAGGGCGCGGCUGCACGGACGCGGGCCUCGGGAUCGUGUCCUGCCGUUGAUCCGUUGCUCUCAUGGACUCACCUCGGGUCAGCCACCAGGAGGACCCGUGUUGACUCCGCUCUUCGGGUGCCAAGAGGUCGCAGCUGGACUAUGAGGUCCCGGCUUGGCUGUCGACCUCCACGGGACCUGGCCCUCCCGAAGACCUUCCUCUCGCAACCCCGUUUGUGGUUUACCUAGGGCUCAGUGACGCCGACUUGGCACACCGCGUCAGGAGCCCAGGAGGAUGCGGGGCAAGGGCCGUCCCUGUUCACAUCUGCCACAGACAAAGGAAGCGGUUAAGGUCACCUCGAGCCCCGCGUAGCCUCUGGACGCGGUUAGAUGUGUAGUUUGUACUCCUUAUAUAUUGUUAUUCCAAUUCAAACAUGUCUGCGACGGCGUGAGAUAUGAACGAGGCAGUUCUUGCUUUUGCCGGCCAGUGUAAAUCUAACCUUUUGUCCAUCAGUUGUCACCAUUUUUGUUUCAUUAAAAAUAUGAUUCAUUCAGCCAGGUCAGAUUUUAUAUUUAAAAAAAUGUCUUAGGUGUUUUAUAAUGCUCGUUGGUUAUUUCAUUUUUCAUCAAAGUCAACUUGUAAAUGUUUGUAAAUAAUCAUUUUUGGAACAAACCUGAAAAUUCUGAUUAAACAUUAUUUGCAUCA